AGACCUUUGUCUGGAGCCGAGGGGUACAAGAUGGUACUGGACACGCUUCUACUUCAACCCAGAUUGCAGCUGGGUCAGACACAACCCGGAACCUGAACUGGGGAUGCUCUUUCUUUUGCAGGAGCUGAUGACACCACUCACACCUCAGCAGGGACUCUCUCUCUCUCUCGCCUCUCCUCACACCCAUUUUUGACGUCUGACUCAUGGACAAAUUCAUAAAGCACAAACCCCUCUUCAAGGCAAACAGCCACAAGAUGGUCACCUCUCAGGAGCAGAACUGCUUCUUUUCCACUUGCACAGGUAACUCAGGGCAAAUACUCCAGCCCAGCCUGUCUCGGAGGGUACCAUAAAGAAGCAAUUAAAGGUAAACCACUGUGAGUUACCCUCGUCC